GAGCUGUAAUUCUGCCUAGCUAGCUGGGCAACCCUGGGCAAAUCUCUGAUUUUCUGUCUGCCUUAGUUUUCUCAUCUGUAACAUAGGGAUAAUAAUGGUACCUACCUUGAAGGAUGCUGUGAGGAUAAGAUAAUACUUUCAGUCAGUCAUUAAGUCAAUAAAUAGUUAAGCCCCUAUUAUGUGCCAGGCACUGUAUAAAGCCGUGGGGAUUUAAAAAGAGGGAGAAGACAGUCCCUGCCCCCAAAGAGCUCACAUUCCAAUAGGGAAGACAACAAGUAAAACAGGUAUACCAGGCAAGCUCUAUCCAGGAUAAGAAGGAGAUAAUAGCAGAGGGAAGGCACUGGGCUUAAGAGGGGUGGGGGAGGCUUCCAACAGAAGGUAGGAUCUCAGUUGGGACUUGGAGGAAGCAGGAAGUCAGUAGAUACAGGAAAGUGGUGGAGAGCAUUUCAGGCAUGAGGGACGGCCAAAGGAAAUUCCCGGAGUGAGAGGUGGAGCGUUUUGUUGGUGAAACAGCCAGGAGGGCCUCCACCCCCUUAUAGGAAGAAUCAGAGCUAGUGACUUCUGCUCAUCUAAGCAAGCUCUGUCCUCUGAGGGGAUAGCCUGCACCCAGACUCCAGGCGAGGACUUAGGCAUGGCCCCCAUGGGAUCCCCAGUGGACACUUCCAAGGUGAGCUUCCUUCCUGAAACAUUGCCAGGUCUCAGGGCCCCCUCCUUGUGCCUGCAGUGGCCCUUGCUG
rnacentral:lncRNA from 1 species